rnacentral:tRNA from 1 species
GGGUUCGUAGCUCAGAUGGUUAGAGCGCGUCGUUGACAUCGACGAGGUCAGAGGUUCGAUUCCUCUCGGACCCACCA